CCUACGGGGGGCAGCAGUGAGGAAUAUUGGUCAAUGGACGAGAGUCUGAACCAGCCAAGUAGCGUGAAGGAUGACUGCCCUCUGGGUUGUAAACUUCUUUUAUAUGGGAAUAAAAUGUUCCACGUGUGGGAUUUUGUAUGUACCAUAUGAAUAAGGAUCGGCUAACUCCGUGCCAGCAGCCGCGGUAAUACGGAGGAUCCGAGCGUUAUCCGGAUUUAUUGGGUUUAAAGGGAGCGUAGGUGGAUUGUUAAGUCAGUUGUGAAAGUUUGCGGCUCAACCGGAAAACUGCAGUUGAAACUGGCAGGCUUGAGUACAGUAGAGGUGGGCGGAAUUCGAGGUGUAGCGGUGAAAUGCGUAGAUAUCACGAAGAAUUCCGAUGGCGAAGGCAGCCCACUGGACUGCAACUGACACUGAGGCUCGAAAGUGUGGGUAUCAAACAGGAUUAGAUACCCGUGUAGUC
rnacentral:rRNA from 1 species